UAUAUUCCUCUUUUCUAAUUGGUGACGUAUUGGUGCAGAUAUUGUUUGUAUUAAAAGAGAAACAAAAUAGAAAUGCCUUGUGUUUAUGGGCAAUAUCCCAAUUCUACCUUUGGGAAGUCCACUACCUAUCCAAGUUCACUCUUCACGGCUCAGUUUCUAGCAGUGCUUCAAAAUAGCGGAAUAAGUACUACGAAUAUCAAGUUCUCAACUCGUAUAAUAGUGUCUAGAGCAGCAUUGAAUUUAAAGGACUUUAAUGUGGAUGUCGAGCUAGGCAAUGACAAGUAAUAGUAGUGGUGCUGGCAUUUUGAAUGGGAAGGCUACCGAAAAGGUCAGAGACUACAGCUAAAGAAUGCUGGUUGUUAAGCGUUCGAGAGGAUAAGAGCGCAAAUAUGAACAUCUUCGUAUCUAUCUUGCUUUGGCAAAUCAUUCUCCAUUCCUGCUAUCAUUAAAAUUUUGUUUGAUUGCAAUUUUACAAUGCACUAAGUGAAUGAGCAUUUUGCAGUUUGUUCUAAUUUUGUCCAACUGUAUAUUGAUUUGGAGUUUGCUACAAAAACAGGGGCCCUGCCCCACCAAUAGGUGGGGGUGGUCCCCUUUUUUUUUUGCACGGGACCCAUUCCCAUGGGUGGGGUUCAGUCAGAGGGCCUGUCAGGCCCCUUGUUCUUCCAGCAAAAUUCUAUUGAUUUUAAGUUGGUUUUUAUUCUGUGCUACUGAAUAUUUAGUUGAUGGAUAAUGUUUGGUAGAUUAGUGAUCUACUCCCAGAAUCUG
rnacentral:lncRNA from 1 species